UACGUAGGGAGCAAGCGUUGUCCGGAAUCAUUGGGCGUAAAGCGCGUGUAGGCGGCCCGAUAAGUCCGCUGUGAAAGUCCAGGGCUCAACCCUGGAAUGCCGGUGGAUACUGUCGGGCUCGAGUCCGGAAGAGGCGAGUGGAAUUCCUGGUGUAGCGGUGAAAUGCGCAGAUAUCAGGAGGAACACCGAUGGCGAAGGCAGCUCGCUGGGACGGUACUGACGCUGAGACGCGAAAGCGUGGGGAGCAAACAGG
rnacentral:rRNA from 1 species